GAAAUCAGAUCUUUAUGCAGCUCCAAUGAGGAAAUCCUGCUUUAUGCUGCCCCUGCUCAAGCUGGGUCGCUUCUAGAUGUGACUGUGGGAGCCAUCUGAAUGAAUCCACGUGGACAUGCUGCUUACUGCUGAGUGUGCAGAAGUGGGGAGGGAAAAGAAAGUGAAGCUAUCCUGACGAUAGCUAAGAGGAAGACUUUCAGCAAGCUUAAAAGAACUUUAGCAAAGACAAGAGCAUUUUAAUUGUAGCUGCUGAGAAAAAAAAGAAAAUGGCCUGAACUAAAGAGUGAAAAACCCUGCAAAGGAGAAGACUAUAAAUAUUGUACUUCACUUUCGAAGCUUUAUUAAAACAGGCUAUUAGCCGGAAUAUCGCACGUGCCUUUGCAGAUUCCAACCUAUGUGUGUGAAGUCAAGCACAAUUUUGGAAUAAACAGAGGAAAGCAAGGUCAGAGGGGGAUCUCUGCAGACCUGGUGGCUGGUCUGGGUACUGGAGUGCAUGAAGAGCCCCAGCAUGGGGCUUGGGAUCCCUGACCUCGGCUCCCAGCACCUCCUUCAGUCUGGCUCAGCAGGUGGAGUGCAGGCAACUCCUCAGCAAUUUAAACUUUCUAAAUACUGAUUGUGAGUACUGAAAAUCAUCAGACCAUUAACGUGAUAACGGCUAAACAGGUAAUUGUAGCCACUCUGUGCUGGCAAAAAUUACUGGUGACUUUUAUUUUUAAAAGGAAAAAAAUCUAACAGCAAAAACUUCUUUCUGGGAUAUGAAAAAUAUUCCUGUGCUGCAAUGUUGUAUUGUACAUAUUUUUCCGCUGCAAUGAUAGAGCUAGCCAAAAAGCAUUGAAAAAAGAUCUGCAA